UCGCAGCUGAGCCGCCCCGGGAGCCCCCGGGAUGAGCCUCGCAGCAUCCCGGGCACCGGGCAGGGGGUGCUCCCGGCUGCGCUUCUCGGCGCCGUGCAGGCCGAGGAAGGCGGUGUUUGACAGGGGUUUAACCUGAAAUCGCAAAUAUUCACACGCCUCGGUCAUAGCGGACAGCCCGCCGCUCAGACGGGACAUGGCUGAGGAGGCUCAGCCCUUCGACUGAUGGGUGAUUUAAUUGAUGCUCGUUCCUGAAAGCUUGGGUCCCUUGGAGUUGCUUGUUCCCAAGAAAAGCAUUCCAGUGUUGGCUGUAACUGUGUGGAUGGAUGCUGUAGAACAUGCCACCUCCAGACUGACAGCUGCUCCAAACACAUGGGGACAUGAAAAUGUUGUCAUUGCCUUAGUGUCUGUCUGGGCUGCUCUUUUUCCCUUCGGCUAGGCAGCCAAGAAGGGGUGAGUUUGGGCCAGGGACGGUCUCGUUUUGGCUGCAGAGCUGGAUUAGGGCUGAGGCUGGAGCUGGAGAAGCUGAAGCUUCCUCCACAUGCACAGGCAGUGCUGCAGGUGGGUCACAAAGACCUGCAGCCAGGCAGAAGAUACAGCUGCAGUGGCAUCUGCCUCAUCCUGUGGCAUCAAGAACCCACAGGACUCAGAAAACCACAUGGGGGGCUCUGUCUGUGCUGAAGCCUGAGGGACCACGGCCGUGCUGGGGCCAGCGCUUCUGUCUGAGUCAGUGACACUCUGGAUGUGGUGUCGGUGUCCCUGUGAUGGUUAGGGCUGACCACUUCUGCUUCUUGCUCUUUGGUCAUGAGUCCUGAAUACAGCCCUUUAUCAGGAAAUCAGAGAAAAGAGGAAGACCCUGUUCUGCAGAGUGUAUUUCCUACAGUGUUUCAAACAGCCUUGUGGAGAAGUCUGGAUUAUGUACUGGAAGUAUCCCUCUUUGAGGCAACAACCUGGAAAAAUAAAUAAUGGUGGCCUGUGCAAA